rnacentral:lncRNA from 1 species
GAGCUCGAAGCCGCCCUCACUAUACUCGGUCAAAGCCUUGAUACGAGCUCGCGUCUCUUGCAAAAAAUUCUCCGCGGCCGUUUCUGUCUUCUUCUGCUCCAACUUACCCUUGACCACAGCCAAAACCCCCUCGUACUCCUUCGCAAGAGAGACACGAGUUAGAUGGAGAUCUUUGCGAUCUUUCCUAUCCGACCUUCGAUCUCUCGCCUAUACUUCUCCUUCAUCGAGUCAAGGUCGCUCUGAACAACGACCUUCUCUGCCUCAGCAGCCGCCAACUUCUUCUUCAAUUCCUCAAUCUCCACUUCGUGCUGUCUCUCCGCCUCCCGAGCAGCAUCCAACUCACCCCGAAGCUGUUGGAUCGUGAGAAGGUGACCCGCGAUCUCUUCCUUACUAGGAAAAUUUGCCAUUCGCCCCUCCAUUCAAGCGGCAUAAUCGUUGCUCGCCUCCAUAGCUUAAGCAAAACGAUAGCGUCAAAACUAAACAUCCCAGUCCGUAAAGAAUAAAGCGAAGACAACGUACCUUGGCAUUUGCGACCGCCAUCCGAACAUAAGCGUCGCCCUCUCACAUGUGCUCCAAAGAAGGGAGCUCGCAUCCUUCUGCUAUGACCUU